AAGAUGGCGACCGGCGCACGGGUGAGUAACACGUAUCCAACCUGCCGAUAACUCCGGAAUAGCCUUUCGAAGGAAAGAUUAAUACCGGAUGGCAUACGAAUAUCGCAUGAUAUUUUUAUUAAAGAAUUUCGGUUAUCGAUGGGGAUGCGUUCCAUUAGUUUGUUGGCGGGGUAACGGCCCACCAAGACUACGAUGGAUAGGGGUUCUGAGAGGAAGGUCCCCCACAUUGGAACUGAGACACGGUCCAA
rnacentral:rRNA from 1 species